rnacentral:rRNA from 1 species
UAGGGAAUCUUCGGCAAUGGGGGGAACCCUGACCGAGCAACGCCGCGUGAGUGAAGAAGGUUUUCGGAUCGUAAAGCUCUGUUGUUAAGGAAGAACGAGUGUGAGAAUGGAAAGUUCAUGCUGUGACGGUACUUAACCAGAAAGGGACGGCUAACUACGUGCCAGCAGCCGCGGUAAUACGUAGGUCCCGAGCGUUGACCGGAUUUAUUGGGCGUAAAGCGAGCGCAGGCGGUUAGAAAAGUCUGAAGUGAAAGGCAGUGGCUCAACCAUUGUAGGCUUUGGAAACUGUUUAACUUGAGUGCAGAAGGGGAGAGUGGAAUUCCAUGUGUAGCGGUGAAAUGCGUAGAUAUAUGGAGGAACACCGGUGGCGAAAGCGGCUCUCUGGUCUGUAACUGACGCUGAGGCUCGAAAGCGUGGGGAGCGAACAGG